rnacentral:rRNA from 1 species
CACUAUCGUCGUACUGGCGGCGAGUGGCGAACGGGUGAGUAAUACAUCGGAACGUGCCCUGUUGUGGGGGAUAACUAGUCGAAAGAUUAGCUAAUACCGCAUACGACCUGAGGGUGAAAGCGGGGGACCGUAAGGCCUCGCGCAGCAGGAGCGGCCGAUGUCUGAUUAGCUAGUUGGUGGGGUAAAGGCCCACCAAGGCGACGAUCAGUAGCUGGUCUGAGAGGACGAUCAGCCACACUGGGACUGAGACACGGCCCAGACUCCUACGGGAGGCAGCAGUGGGGAAUUUUGGACAAUGGGGGCAACCCUGAUCCAGCAAUGCCGCGUGUGUGAAGAAGGCCUUCGGGUUGUAAAGCACUUUUGUCCGGAAAGAAAUGGCGCUGGUUAAUACCUGGCGUCGAUGACGGUACCGGAAGAAUAAGCACCGGCUAACUACGUGCCAGCAGCCGCGGUAAUACGUAGGGUGCGAGCGUUAAUCGGAAUUACUGGGCGUAAAGCGUGCGCAGGCGGUUUUGUAAGACAGGCGUGAAAUCCCCGGGCUUAACCUGGGAAUUGCGCUUGUGACUGCAAGGCUAGAGUGCGUCAGA